rnacentral:rRNA from 1 species
AGUUUGAUCCUGGCUCAGGAUGAACGCUGGCGGCGUGCUUAACACAUGCAAGUCGAACGAAGCACUGGAGCGGAAUCCCUUCGGGGAGGAAGCGCCUUUGACUGAGUGGCGGACGGGUGAGUAACGCGUGGGUAACCUGCCCCAUACAGGGGGAUAACAGCCGGAAACGGCUGCUAAUACCGCAUGCACAUGCGGAGGCGCAUGCCUCUGUAUGGAAAGCUUUGGCGGUAUGGGAUGGGCCCGCGUCUGAUUAGGCAGUUGGCGGGGUAACGGCCCACCAAACCAACGAUCAGUAGCCGGCCUGAGAGGGCGACCGGCCACAUUGGGACUGAGACACGGCCCAAACUCCUACGGGAGGCAGCAGUGGGGAAUAUUGCACAAUGGGGGAAACCCUGAUGCAGCGACGCCGCGUGGGUGAAGAAGUAUUUCGGUAUGUAAAGCCCUAUCAGCAGGGAAGAAGAAUGACGGUACCUGACUAAGAAGCACCGGCUAAAUACGUGCCAGCAGCCGCGGUAAUACGUAUGGUGCAAGCGUUAUCCGGAUUUACUGGGUGUAAAGGGAGCGCAGGCGGCACGCUAAGCCUGAUGUGAAAACCCGCGGCCCAACCGCGGGAGUGCAUUGGGAACUGGCGA